ACCGUUUGGGAUCCAGGGUGUCAUCUGGGAAAGGUGACCUUGUGCACACUCCUACCUCGCCCCUGUCUUAAAACACACACUAAAUUCCUGGGAGGUUUCGUAGAGUUCAGGACGACCUUCUCCAGCUAACCUUUGGGUCGUGUUGCACCGAAAGGUUAAAUCUAUGAGGUGCGGGGACCGCCAUGGGAUGAAAACACUGUCGUGUCCAGGAACACCAGAGUGGUUAUCGCGUUCGCUCUGAGUUUUCCCUGGAUUUGAGGUUACUCAAAGACAACACGUUGGGAAGGAGCAGGGUACCUUUCUGGGACCCAGAGAGAAACACCGUUUCUCCACCCCCAAGUCUCUCUCACACACACCCCUUAGUAGCUACCUCCAAACGGUUAUCACAACUGUGUACAAACUGAUACGGCCCUUAGCGGGCCAAGGACUGGAAACGAACGCUGGCGGGGUUAUCAGUGUGGAUCUGUCAGCAGCGAGUCACGCACUGUUCGUCCCCAGGCAGCAGCCUUGAUAAACGUCUUGUUCCUUCGGGCUCACAAAAAGGAUUUCUUCCGGCAAGCUGGACACCGGAAGAUUGUGGAAAGGGAAUUGGACAGGAGGAGCUCCCUUAUGAAAAUGGAUUUUUAUACACACUCACAAAAAGGAUUUCUUCCGACAAGCUGGACACUGGAAGAUUGUGGAAAGGGAAUUGGACAGGAGGAGCUCCCUUAUGGAAAUGGAUUUUUACACACACACCCCAGCUUGUUAUCUGGGCCACCCAAUGACCGACGAAAGAUCUUCCCUCCCCACGUCUCCCAUCGCCGUUUUAAACCAAAUAAAUUUAGCUAUUAAGGGCCGAGACGUCUGACAAAAGAUCGAAAGGUGUCUCUCUGGGAUCGCUUAAAGAAGCCAAGAAGCUGGCGACUCUCGAAUCCCGAUAAAGAAAUUCCACGCCGGCGCCGACCUCCCUCCCCAGCCUGCUUGCACCCAACACCCUGAGAUCAGGACCUCAGAGGUCCACUGGGACUUGUCUAGGGUCCCGAGACUGGGGCUGUUAGACUUUGGGAGCAGGGCACUGAGGUCCCUAGAGCAGUGAUACCUAAAACAUUUCCUGCCAAGCUUGCAGAAGAACCAAGGCCAAGGAAACCCAACCUAAGCAUUUAAAUUUGCUUCCCCUCUCCCCUUUUCCUUUGAGACAAAGUCUUUCAUUAAGCAUGGCAGGCUGGCCUCAAACUCAUGAUCCUCGAGUCUCAGGUCUGUGCAGUACUGGGAUUCAAAUGUAGCCUAGUCCCGCCGUUUUUAUUGUUUGCUAAUACUGAGUAAUAAAGACAAUACCCAAUCA